rnacentral:rRNA from 1 species
AUUGAACGCUGGCGGCAGGCCUAACACAUGCAAGUCGAACGAGCGGCGGACGGGUGAGUAAUGUCUGGGAAACUGCCCGAUGGAGGGGGGGAACUACUGGAAACGGUAGCUAAUAUCGCAUACCAUCGGAUGUGCCCAGAUGGGAUUAGCUAGUAGGUGGGGUAACGGCUCACCUAGGCGACGAUCCCUAGCUGGUCUGAGAGGAUGACCAGCCACACUGGAACUGAGACACGGUCCAGACUCCUACGGGAGGCAGCAGUGGGGAAUAUUGCACAAUGGGCGAAAGCCUGAUGCAGCCAUGCCGCGUGUGUGAAGAAGGCCUUCGGGUUGUAAAGUACGUUCAGCGAGGAGGCGUUACUCGCAGAAGAAGCACCGGCUAACUCCGUGCCAGCAGCCGCGGUAAUUC